GACAGCCAGGAUGUUGGCUUAGAAGCAGCCAUCAUUUAAAGAAAGCGUAAUAGCUCACUGGUCGAGUCGGCCUGCGCGGAAGAUGUAACGGGGCUAAACCAUGCACCGAAGCUGCGGCAGCGACACUAUGUGUUGUUGGGUAGGGGAGCGUUCUGUAAGCCUGUGAAGGUGUGCUGUGAGGCAUGCUGGAGGUAUCAGAAGUGCGAAUGCUGACAUAAGUAACGAUAAAGCGGGUGAAAAGCCCGCUCGCCGGAAGACCAAGGGUUCCUGUCCAACGUUAAUCGGGGCAGG
rnacentral:rRNA from 1 species